rnacentral:rRNA from 1 species
GAUGAACGCCGGCGGCGUGCCUAAUACAUGCAAGUCGAGCGAACGGACGAGAAGCUUGCUUCUCUGAUGUUAGCGGCGGACGGGUAAGUAACACGUGGAUAACCUACCUAUAAGACUGGGAUAACUUCGGGAAACCGGAGCUAAUACCGGAUAAUAUUUUGAACCGCAUGGUUCAAAAGUGAAAGACGGUCUUGCUGUCACUUAUAGAUGGAUCCGCGCUGCAUUAGCUAGUUGGUAAGGUAACGGCUUACCAAGGCAACGAUGCAUAGCCGACCUGAGAGGGUGAUCGGCCACACUGGAACUGAGACACGGUCCAGACUCCUACGGGAGGCAGCAGUAGGGAAUCUUCCGCAAUGGGCGAAAGCCUGACGGAGCAACGCCGCGUGAGUGAUGAAGGUCUUCGAAUCGUAAAACUCUGUUAUUAGGGAAGAACAUAUGUGUAAGUAACUGUGCACAUCUUGACGGUACCUAAUCAGAAAGCCACGGCUAACUACGUG